GAUGAACGCUGGCGGCGUGCCUAAUACAUGCCAGUCGAGCGAACAGACGAGGAGCUUGCUCCUUUGACGUUAGCGGCGGACGGGUGAGUAACACGUAGGUAACCUACCUAUAAGACUGGGAUAACUUCGGGAAACCGGAGCUAAUACCGGAUAAUAUUUCGAACCGCAUGGUUCGAUAGUGAAAGAUGGCUUUGCUAUCACUUAUAGAUGGACCUGCGCCGUAUUAGCUAGUUGGUAAGGUAACGGCUUACCAAGGCAACGAUACGUAGCCGACCUGAGAGGGGGGAGGGGAAGACGGGAAGUGGAGGAGGGGAGAGAGGCGGGCGGAGGGCAGAGGAGGGAGAGGGUACGAAGGGUGCGAAAGGUGAAUGGAGCAACGGGGGGGAGGAGAAGAGGGGAAGCGGAUCGGCAAGCUCUGUCAUGACAUAGACACAAAGGGGGAAGUAACUGGGCACCGGGAGAGGGUACCUGAGAUGAAAGGCAGCGAUAACUAGGCG
rnacentral:rRNA from 1 species